rnacentral:tRNA from 1 species
GCCCUAGUAGCUAAACAUAAAGCGCCGGUCUUGUAAUCCGGAGAUCGGGGGUUCAAGUCCCCCCUAGCGCC